UACAGAGGGGGCAAGCGUUGUUCGGAAUUACUGGGCGUAAAGGGCGCGUAGGCGGCCUUCUAAGUCGAACGUGAAAUCCCCGGGCUCAACCCGGGAACUGCGUCCGAGACUGGAAGGCUCGAAUUCGGGAGAGGGAUGCAGAAUUCCAGGUGUAGCGGUGAAAUGCGUAGAUAUCUGGAGGAACACCGGUGGCGAAGGCGGCAUCCUGGACCGACACUGACACUGAGGAGCGAAAGCCAGGGGAGCAAACGGG
rnacentral:rRNA from 1 species